GGACGAACGCUGGCGGCGUGCCUAAUACAUGCAAGUCGAACGGUCUUUCUAUGGAAGCUUGCUUCCACUGAGAAGAUAGUGGCGAACGGGUGAGUAACACGUGGGUAACCUGCCCAUAAGAGGGGGGAUAACAUCCGGAAACGGGUGCUAAUACCGCAUAGUUUUCUUGAUCGCAUGAUCGGGAAAGGAAAGACGGCCUUUGUGCUGUCGCUUAUGGAUGGACCCGCGGCGUAUUAGUUAGUUGGUGAGGUAACGGCUCACCAAGACGAUGAUACGUAGCCGACCUGAGAGGGUGAUCGGCCACAUUGGGACUGAGACACGGCCCAAACUCCUACGGGAGGCAGCAGUAGGGAAUCUUCCGCAAUGGACGAAAGUCUGACGGAGCAACGCCGCGUGAGUGAAGAAGGUUUUCGGAUCGUAAAACUCUGUUGUCAGAGAAGAACAAGUUGGGGAGUAACUGCUCCAGCCUUGACGGUAUCUGACCAGAAAGCCACGGCUAACUACGUGCCAGCCGCCGC
rnacentral:rRNA from 1 species